GAGAUAUGAGACCUUCAAAGGUGGCACAUGGAAAAGACAACCGAGGAGAGAAAGACAGCCUGGUGUGGGGUACACAGUGGGUGCCUCAUUCAUGUUGCUGAGUGGAUGGAUGUCAGGAAGAAGUGAGACAUAUGGCAGGGACAGUAAACUGUUUGUAUUUUUGGCAUUCUGGAUCCUCUUUCUCUACAAUCGAGAUCUCAUUUACCCCAAGGUCCUAGAUACUGUCAUCCCAGUGUGGCUGAAUCAUGCAAUGCACACUUUCAUAUUCCCCAUCACAUUGGCUGAAGUCGUCCUCAGGCCUCACUCCUAUCCAUCAAAGAAGACAGGACUCACCUUGCUGGCUGCUGCCAGCAUUGCUUACAUCAGCCGCAUCCUAUGGCUCUACUUUGAGACGGGUACCUGGGUGUAUCCUGUGUUUGCCAAACUCAGCCCCUUGGGUCUAGCAGCUUUCUUCUCUCUCAGCUACGUCUUCAUCGCCAGCAUCUACCUACUUGGAGAGAAGCUCAACCACUGGAAAUGGGGUGACAAGAGGCAGCCACGGAAGAAGAGGAAGUAAUUGCACACCAUUUUCCAAGAACCAAGAAAGAAGAAAACACAAGAGAUUUUUCUCAUCUUUUUUUUUUUUUUCUGGUGGAGGGAGGUGGUGGAGGAACAUAGCAAAGUAGGAGGGACAGAGAUUGAUACUUAAAUUUAAUAAGAGGUUCGUGAAGGUA
rnacentral:sRNA from 1 species